rnacentral:rRNA from 1 species
AUUGAACGCUGGCGGCAUGCCUUACACAUGCAAGUCGAACGGCAGCACGGGGGCAACCCUGGUGGCGAGUGGCGAACGGGUGAGUAAUACAUCGGAACGUGCCCAGUAGUGGGGGAUAGCUCGGCGAAAGCCGGAUUAAUACCGCAUACGACCUACGGGUGAAAGCGGGGGAUCGCAAGACCUCGCGCUAUUGGAGCGGCCGAUGUCAGAUUAGGUUGUUGGUGGGGUAAAGGCCUACCAAGCCGACGAUCUGUAGCUGGUCUGAGAGGACGACCAGCCACACUGGGACUGAGACACGGCCCAGACUCCUACGGGAGGCAGCAGUGGGGAAUUUUGGACAAUGGGCGCAAGCCUGAUCCAGCCAUGCCGCGUGCGGGAAGAAGGCC